UACGGGGGGGGCAAGCGUUGUUCGGAAUUACUGGGCGUAAAGGGCUCGUAGGUGGCCAACUAAGUCAGACGUGAAAUCCCUCAGCUUAACUGGGGAACUGCGUCUGAUACUGGAUGGCUUGAGAUUGGGAGAGGGAUGCGGAAUUCCAGGUGUAGCGGUGAAAUGCGUAGAUAUCUGGAGGAACACCGGUGGCGAAGGCGGCAUCCUGGACCAACACUGACACUGAGGAGCGAAAGCCAGGGGAGCAAGCGGG
rnacentral:rRNA from 1 species